AGAUUGAACGCUGGCGGCAGGCCUAACACAUGCAAGUCGAGCGGCAGCACGGGUACUUGUACCUGGUGGCGAGCGGCGGACGGGUGAGUAAUGCCUAGGAAUCUGCCUGAUAGUGGGGGAUAACGUUCGGAAACGGACGCUAAUACCGCAUACGUCCUACGGGAGAAAGUGGGGGAUCUUCGGACCUCACGCUAUCAGAUGAGCCUAGGUCGGAUUAGCUAGUUGGUGAGGUAAUGGCUCACCAAGGCGACGAUCCGUAACUGGUCUGAGAGGAUGAUCAGUCACACUGGAACUGAGACACGGUCCAGACUCCUACGGGAGCAGCAGUGGGAAUAUUGGACAAUGGGCGAAAGCCUGAUCCAGCCAUGCCGCGUGUGUGAAGAAGUCUUCGAUUGAAAGCUAUUAAGUGGAGAAGGCAGUUACCUAAUACGUAUCUGUUUGACGUUACGACAGAAUAAGCACGCUAACUCUGU
rnacentral:rRNA from 1 species